AUUGAACGCUGGCGGCAGGCCUAACACAUGCAAGUCGAGCGAGCGGCGGACGGGUGAGUAAUGUCUGGGAAACUGCCGGAUGGAGGGGGAUAACUACUGGAAACGGUAGCUAAUACCGCAUACCAUCAGAUGUGCCCAGAUGGGAUUAGCUAGUAGGUGGGGUAACGGCUCACCUAGGCGACGAUCCCUAGCUGGUCUGAGAGGAUGACCAGCCACACUGGAACUGAGACACGGUCCAGACUCCUACGGGAGGCAGCAGUGGGGAAUAUGGGACAAUUGGCGAAAGCCUGAUGCAGCCAUGCCGCGGGUGUGAAGAAGGCCUUCGGGUUGUAAAGCACUUUCAGCGGGGAGGCGGUACCCGCAGAAGAAGCACCGGCUAACUCCGUGCCAGCAGCCGCGGUAAUAC
rnacentral:rRNA from 1 species